GGGCUUAACUCCGGAUCUGCGGUGGGUACGGGCAGACUUGAGUGAUGUAGGGGAGACUGGAAUUCCGGUGUAGCGGUGAAAUGCGCAGAUAUCAGGAGGAACACCGAUGGCGAAGGCAGGUCUCUGGGCAUUAACUGACGCUGAGGAGCGAAAGCAUGGGGAGCGAACAGGAUUAGAUACCCUGGUAGUCCAUGCCGUAAACGUUGGGCACUAGGUGUGGGGGACAUUCCACGUUUUCCGCGCCGUAGCUAACGCAUUAAGUGCCCCGCCUGGGGAGUACGGCCGCAAGGCUAAAACUCAAAGGAAUUGACGGGGGCCCGCACAAGCGGCGGAGCAUGCGGAUUAAUUCGAUGCAACGCGAAGAACCUUACCAAGGCUUGACAUGAACCGGAACGGCGCAGAGAUGUGUCGGCCACUUGUGGCCGGUUUACAGGUGGUGCAUGGUUGUCGUCAGCUCGUGUCGUGAGAUGUUGGGUUAAGUCCCGCAACGAGCGCAACCCUCGUUCCAUGUUGCCAGCGGGUUAUGCCGGGGACUCAUGGGAGACUGCCGGGGUCAACUCGGAGGAAGGUGGGGACGACGUCAAAUCAUCAUGCCCCUUAUGUCUUGGGCUUCACGCAUGCUACAAUGGCCGGUACAAAGGGUUGCGAUGCUGUGAGGUGGAGCUAAUCCCAAAAAGCCGGUCUCAGUUCGGAUUGAGGUCUGCAACUCGACCUCAUGAAGUCGGAGUCGCUAGUAAUCGCAGAUCAGCAACGCUGCGGUGAAUACGUUCCCGGGCCUUGUACACACCGCCC
rnacentral:rRNA from 1 species